UGACACCGAUCACACCUUGUGACAUAAUCGAUGGAGUCAUGGUACAUGGUAGGCCAGUAAUAGCCUUAUCGGAGCAGUUUGUAGGAUAAAGAUCUGACCUCCAAGUGACUUCCACAGACUCUCUCAUGUACCUCCCUCAAGGUGAAGUUGGCUUCAGAAGGCCAGAGAUAUUUCAGGAGGGGCAAAGAGUAUGACCUCUUGUAUAGCUUGCCUUCGUAAAGGAUAUAUCGGGAGGCCUGGUUCCUAAGCUUUCAAGUUUCUUUU
rnacentral:lncRNA from 1 species